rnacentral:tRNA from 1 species
GCCUUCGUGGUUUACUGGUCAGCACGCUGGGCGCGUAUUCCAGAGGUCCGUGGUUCGAGUCCCGACGAAGGCG